GCGGAUGUGGCGAAAUUGGCAGACGCGCAGGUCUCAGAAGCCUGUGGUGGUGACACCUUGGAGGUUCAAGUCCUCUCAUCCGCA
rnacentral:tRNA from 1 species